AACGAACGCUGGCGGCAGGCUUAACACAUGCAAGUCGAACGCCCCGCAAGGGGAGUGGCAGACGGGUGAGUAACGCGUGGGAAUCUACCCAGUUCUACGGAACAACUGAGGGAAACUUCAGCUAAUACCGUAUACGCCCUACGGGGGAAAGAUUUAUCGGAAUUGGAUGAGCCCGCGUAAGAUUAGCUAGUUGGUGGGGUAAAGGCCUACCAAGGCGACGAUCUUUAGCUGGUCUGAGAGGAUGAUCAGCCACACUGGGACUGAGACACGGCCGAGACUCCUACGGGAGGCAGCAGUGGGGAAUAUUGGACAAUGGGCGCAAGCCUGAUCCAGCCAUGCCGCGUGAGUGGUGAAGGCCUUAGGGUUGUAAAGCUCUUUCAGUGGGGACGAUAAUGACGGUACCCACAGAAGAAGCCCCGGCUAACUUCGUGCCAGCCGCCGCGGUAA
rnacentral:rRNA from 1 species